UCCUGAGGACCAAAGUUUGACCUUCAAAAUGAUGUGUGAGUGUUCAUGUAUUGAUGGCAAAAGACGUGGGUGUUUUUCCUAUAAUUACAUUCCUGGAGUUCUCAUCAAUUUCUCUUUCUCUUUGGCUUUACAGUUAAAGGAACAGAUGAUUUAGUUAUAUAAUUAGGCUUCUUCCCACUUCAGUGAAAGCUGAUGGUGCUAUAGCUAAGCUAUGACCAUUCCUGUGGUUAUCUAGAGUAGCACAUGGGGCCUCUAGCUAUUAUCUGUCCUAGUCAUAGACGCAGAUAUACACAGCUAUGCAGCAGAAUCAAUAUUGUUAAAAUAUUGACUUUAACAAUAUGCUCCUUGGAGCUGUAAAUAGAAUUGGAUGAAGCAUUUAUUUCCCAACCUUUUGACGUUGUAAAUGUGGAAUCCUGUCCCGAAGCUAGCUAGCAUCUUUUCAACAGCCCCUUUUUGGCCUGUUCCUAAUUCAUAGGAUCCCAGACCUAGAGGUUCAGACCAGGGACACUGUUUCCCUAGCAUACAUUAAGUUCAGUUCCUACGCUCCCUCAUCCCCCAAGGAAAACAUGGAGCCUAUGAUUUGAUUCCUGACUCAACAAGAUUUAAAUCGCAGCUCAAACUUCAAGCAUUUAUAAUCUAGUCCAUGAAAGCAAAAGAGCAAGAGUCAGCAUGACUAAUUUAUUUAUUUGAAUUAGAGAGAAUUCAAAGGAGAGGAGCCAAUAUAGAGGGGGAAAAAAAAAAGAAGGGGGAAAGCAGUUAGUUUAAAAAGUUGAGAGAACAAAGUAUGUUUUGCUUGGAUGGGCAACCAAAGAAGCCUGCCAGGAAUGGUCGGUAAAAGGUGUAAGAGUCAUGAAACGUCUUCUGUCCAACCGUUACCGGAAACAUGCAAGGAAUUUCCUAGACUGGCCAGGAUUGGAUUGUGGGAAAGGUCUCUUCAAGCCUCCCCUUGGCUUUUAUGGCAAGAAAAUAGUGCGGACUAUAGAGAGCCGUCGUUCUCAAAGCUUGUCCCCAAUAGCAGAAAAGCAUUGUCCUAAAUUCCCUAAAAGGCACCGUGAAAUAAAUAUUACGAGGACACGAUGGCACAAGAAGGAGCUUUCAACUCUGCCACCAGAACAGUUAUACUUCAUAGUAACCAUGUUGCCCUGUUCAAUGACAAGGCACGCUCUCCAGCAGAAAGGGAAAAGGAGCUGAGUUCGCACACAUGUUUGAGUCAAAACUCAAGAGAGGUGUCGGAAAGAGGUCAUGAACCGCCACAGCAGUCCUGAGGGGUUAGUGUCUUUAGGUUCUAGGCACAUGAAUGUUACAAGACGGAACCACACCUGCACAGUACUAGGCUCCGCUGUACCCCUCAGAUGUCAUGCCUCAUCCAAACUGGGCUCCAACUCGGUAUUUGGCCUAGAGCUACGCUGCGUUUCUCAUCUGUAAGUUGCAGCGCCCUAGUCAAUGUUAAGGCCCACUUCUGCUUUCAAUCAUAGGAGAGGCACUCAGAAGAGAAACAAAAGUGAAAGCUCUCGAAGGAACACACACUAGUAACCUAAAGCACCAAGCUCUAUCACUGAGAGACCUGGCAGGGUUCCAGACAUUUAUCCUUUCAGCAACUGUGAACACGGGGCACCUAUCGCAUCCUGUGGAUGUGAAUUAACACGGUAGAACACGAAUCGGUCCAAGUCUCUGCAGCAGUCUCCUCAACCGUCUCUGGCACUCAACAACCAUUUAUUGAAAUUUCUACCUCAAUAAAUCCAGCCACGAUGCAAAGCCCUCCCCCAAACAAAACAAACAAAAAAAGCCAGCCUGCAAUGUCACAAACUCUCCCUAAGCUGUGCGUCCCCCUUUAGGAAAAGAGCGAAAGGGGAGCAGAAAGAAAAUCCGAACUGGUCUGAUUCUGCCUGCCCUCGCCACGCGGUGGUGGCAAGGACCAGCAUCAGAGCGAACUGUUUUACAACUUAGAAAAUGCAGCGGUCUUUCAAUUCUGUCAACUGAAUAGACCCCUGGGCCACUGGAGCCAGGAGAGGGCAGGCAGCCUGGUACCCAGCAGAAGGCUGGAGCACACAACCCGCACAGCCAGGAUCCGCAGACCCAGAUGACGGGAAGAUGCUCCAAGCGCCCCAGUCUCUGGCUCCCGGGCAGGGAGAGGCGGACGCGCACGCGCGCGCACGCACCACGUCCUUCGCCCGGAGUUGUGUCUCGUCUCCCUUUUGUUUUUCUCCGUUCCCGGUCAUGAGACCCGGAAGUUUUUUUUUUUUUUUCAAUCCUGUCUCCCUUUUCCACCCCCCUCCCCAAUCUAUCACAUGGCAAAGCUAGAAUAAAAACAGAAAAAUGGCGACGGUCACGUUGUGGCGAGCCUUGCUGCGUCAUUAGAUAAUCCUCAUGCAAAUAGCGGGAAGAACAAAGGAAGGGGGGCUCGGGACCCCCGAGGGCUCAGGUGGGUGCGGGGCGCGCGCGGCCGCGGGGGCGGCGUCCAUGUGCGCGCUCCGGGUGCUGCGCUCUCGACCCCGGGCUG